AGCCUCACCCAGCCUGGCAGCGACAACGGUGGUGCCUCUGGGAAAACAUGUUGGAAACCAAGAAAAAUACUGGGGCCUGUGGUCUCCCUACAGGGGGAACAGGUGGAGGACACCAGAGCAGAGCAGUCUCAGUUGUUACAGCUUACACAAACAGGCAGAGGGAAGUCCACCAGAGAAGUACAGCACUGUCUGGAACCCCUGUGCUGGCAUCCAAGAGUGAUGAACAGAGAUGAAGUCGUCACAUUACAAAAGCCAGCAAAUGCCUAUGGACCACUCCGGUCAGAUGAGAAUUACAUGAUGCAUAUCUCUGACCUGAUCCCGCUAACACAUCCUAAAUUGGGUGAUAACUAAAAGGACAGGUAUCAAAAAUAUCAAGCACCUGUUAAACAAUUUAUUCUUAAAGCAACAAGCGGGGCCUUAUAUCAAUUAUGUCAACCUCAGAUGAAAAGCAUCUAGAGAUUACCUAGGCCACAGAACAGAGUGAUCUCUAUAAAUACAUCUUCAUUUCACUUACAACCACAACCACAGUAUCAAAGGUAGUGAACCACCACCAGUUCAGAUUUAGUUAAUCUUGAACAGUGUACGUGUAAUGCAACCCAGACCAAUCACAAUUCAACUGCUAUUUCAGGCAUAUCUCUUCUUCCUGCUUCAUUUCUGUCCCUCUGCUCCCUCCCAGCUCAGAGUGAUGCUCUAAUUAUUCAAACAACGUAAGCAGCGUUCAAUCCAUGCCAGCCCUUUCUUCCUUUAGCACUGACCUUGCCUUAUACAUCACUCUCACAAAACUAAUUAAGUGGAGAACAGUCCCCCUUUACACUCUCUUCAUGAAAAGAACUGAAUUGCUACCUGCCCGAGGGUGCAAUUCAAAUUAUUUUCACCUUCAUUUCUCUCAGAAAAACAAUACAAAUAUUGAGCAAGAAAACAGACCAGGUAAUUCAAGGAAAUCCUUUACCCAAGAUACCACACAAAAAUAAAAGGAUUAUUGUAAAUAA